CAGCCGCCGCGGUAAUACGAGGGGUGCAAGCGUUAUUCGGAUUGAUUGGGUGUAAAGGGUGUGCAGACGGCUUAUUAAGUCACUUGUUAAAUUCUUCGGCCUAACUGAAGGUCUGCAAGUGAUACUGAUGAGCUAGAGGGUGGAAGAGAGAAGUGGAAUUCUCGGAGUAGCGGUAAAAUGCGUAGAUCUCGAGAGGAACACCAAUGGCGAAGGCAGCUUCUUGGUCCAUUCCUGACGUUCAUACACGAAAGCGUGGGGAGCAAACAGGAUUAGAUACCCGCGUAGUCCCUGUCUCUUAUAU
rnacentral:rRNA from 1 species